AGGACGAACGCUGGCGGCGUGCUUAACACAUGCAAGUCGAACGAGGAUCAGGGAGAGCUUGCUUGAACUGAUUCGAGUGGCGGACGGGUGAGUAACGCGUGAGCAACCUGUCUCACACAGGGGAAUAACGCAUCGAAAGAUGUGCUAAUACCGCAUAGGACCACGGAAUCGCAUGGUUUUGAGGUGAAAGGAGCAAUCCGGUGUGAGGUGGGCUCGCGUCUGAUUAGAUAGUUGGUGAGGUAACGGCCCCACCAAGUCAACGAUCAGUAGCCGACCUGAGAGGGUGAUCGGCCACAUUUGGGACUGAGACACGGCCCAGACUCCUACGGGAGGCAGCAGUGGGGAAUAUUGGGCAAUGGGCGAAAGCCUGACCCAGCAACGCCGCGUGAAGGAAGAAGGUUUUCGGAUUCGUAAACUUCUGUCCUUGGUGAAGAGAGGAAGACGGUAGCCAAGGAGGAAGCCCGGCUAACUACGUGCC
rnacentral:rRNA from 1 species